GGUGCCACUCCUCAGCAGCAGGCUGGUUUCCCAGGCUUGACCCGAGAAAUAGUUGUGAUAGACCUUUGUAUUUAGAAACAUUGAUGGCAGUUUGCUGGGAUUGUCUUUGUUUUCUGUGAUAAGAACAGCCUAUGCUAUAAACAAAUAUUUAUAUUUUACAAUAGAGCUGCUUAAAGUUUUGUUUUCUGCUGAUAUAUCAAAGCCCAGGGCUGGAAAAAUGGCAGUACAUAGAGUAAGGUGCAUUUGUUCUACAAAGUUUUGUGUAGAACAGUAUUUUGGUUGGAUAGAGGAUGACCCAGAAAUCUUUUAGAAUCAGGAAGUUUCAUUAUGGAAGGAUUUUGGGUGGUGGAAAGUUGUCUGUGUUGGGAUUGCUGAAAAGAUAUAAUGAGGAGGAUGAUUUAGGAGCUCAAGUCUCAAUGACUUGCAGUAGGACAAGUGCUCAUAAAAUCUUGAAGCAUCUUGAAAAGGCAGGAAAACAGUCUCAAAACUGCUGUAGUUCUAGUAAAAAGAAUGUUGGACAAAAUGUUCAGCAUUCCAAUGUGUUGCAGUUUGUAACUCUGUUGGCUGGAACAGGCAGAAGUCUGGAGGGGGUCUAUUAAAUGCUUUGUAGUUUUCUUGCUGUUUCGUUUUGACUUUGCUAAAUUAAUAUACAUUCAACCUUCAGACUCUCUUAUUGAACAUAUACCCGGUUAUGCCAUGACUGGCCUUUUUAAAGACCCCAGAGUACUUUUUGUAGCAUACUCUAUGGAGAACAAACUUGAGGAAUUUUGUUGCUGUAUCGUCAUUGAUACUUGAAAGGUAUUUCUUCUGUUAAUAAAACUAAACAGAUUCAACAUGAGGAAUACUUAGUAUAGUGCUAAUUUUUUUUUUUUUUUUUUUUUUUUACUAAGUAGAAUUGAAAAUUUGCACAUAGGAGACAGAUUUGUAUCUUGCUUAAGCCAGUAAAGAACUUCUUGUUGUAUUCAGUACAACACAGUUUUAGUAUUUUUAUCUAAAGUACUCGUAAGUAUUGCUUAUGGAUAAAACAGGAAACUAGAUACACAAGGGAAGACAGUGAAAAUCGAAAAAAGAAAAUAGUGGAAUUUUUACACUGGAAGUAAGUUGUGAUAUUGCUUAUAAUAAGGAGGAAAACAGUAAGGAUUAACAACGAGCCCACCAAUCUCUGGCUGUUGCUUGCCUCCCUGGAAAGCAUGGGAAACUUGGUGAAGGUGAAGUUCCUUUCAGUUCUUUUACUGAGGUAUGAAAGUAAAGUCAUUCAUGUAUCAGAGUGUUUGGUUAUGAGAAAGGAGUUUGAAUUUUGCAAUUGAAGAACUUACGCUUUUACCUGUUUGCAUUGAAGCUAACCUUUAUAUUAAUGCUGCUUGAUAACAUACUGCUAAAUCUAGUCCCUUUCAGAUGGUAUACUCUGUCACCUGGAGUUUUCACAGGCUGAGUGAUAAUUUUUUGGAAAAAACUACCCCAAUACGAAAACUGCACAUCACAGGGAAGAUUAUAAGCCAAAGUUUUCACACCAAGCGGUGUGUGAAAUAAGCAUUUGACUUGGGAAUACACCUCUUGAGGAGCAUGGUGGGAUCUGUUCGUUUUACUGGCCUCAGCACUGCCAGGCUAAAGCUGUGGCUGUACUGCUGAAUCAGAUGUGCCUGGGGCUGCUUUGCAGCUGGCAGUGGAACAGCCCAUGUCCAUGUGGCUGCACCGUUACCCUCCAAAGCAGGGUGGCCACAUCAAAACUGCCUACUGGGAGCAGUUCCUAGUUUGUGCCAGCUCACUGCCUGGGCUGGGGAGUUGUCUGGGAGAAAGCUAGUUAUCCCUAAUCAAAACCUAUGCAAGGGACUGGCACCAGGCUCCCAGCGUGGGUGGUUGAGGUAUGACACCUUCUCAGAGCAUUCCUUGGCAGUGUUUUAAGUUGUUACUGCAGGCAAAGCUCUGACUCCUCUGCUGUCAAGUGCAAGUGGUGCUUUUUUUCUGGAUUCUUUCUCUCUUGCAGUAUCAGAGUCUCAUCAACUGUUAGAUUUACGUAACUUCUCAAAAUCAGAAGUCAUUAUGUCUGGAACCUGUGUGCACAUCGGAGCUGUUCUAAGUUCUGAACUCUGUAGUGCUGUUCUUUUUCUGGUCUGGUGAAAUAAGGGGAAAUGCAUGUCGUGCAAUUUCAUCUAUGGAAUACAGCAGUUGUGAAUGUUCUGCUCUGAAUAGGUGGAAAAUGUAUUCCUGGAAGGACAACAAAAAAACCUCGUUGCUGUCUUUAGAGCCAGGAGGGAUUGCCACACCUGUGUCUUGUUACUCUGCAUCCUAGAUCUGAAAAACGUUAUUUGAAUACUACUAUUUCUUUAAAAUUUAAUUUCUGUUUCCAUUCAAUUAGAGUGUUCUCUUGUAUUAACUCUUUCAGUGUCCUCUUGAGAACAUAAGCAAGAAGAACAUAAGGAAGCUGUCAUUCAUACUUGCUCCUUGCAUUGAUCAAGCAAGCACAUGAAACAGUCUGCAGGGCAGCAAAGCAUGCUAAUAUCCACCCCCCCUUUAGGAGUGAAAUAAACCUCUGCUCAUGAAAACCUUGCAAUUUACCAUCAGUGUGGUUCAAGGAGAAGCAUGGCUGGGUGAAAGACCCCCUUAAUAGUUGGAAAGCCUCCUGCAACAUCAGAAAAAAAAAAAAAGGCGUGGAACAAGAUUUAGUCUUUUGUGAUAGCCCAGCCCUGCUUGCUGUGUUGGGAGAGACGCUAUCAAAAUCCCCUUAAAUGCCAGAGCCGUUGGAUAAAGGCAUAAAGAGACAGCAACUUGCAGAGGUGCCCUAUUGCUGCUGUUUAACAGCAAGAAGUACUGAAUGGUAACCAAAUGACUGUGGUCAGAUACACCGAGUUAAUUCUAUAGAGUAGGACUUUCAAAAGUACCAGACUGAACAUCAUACUUCGAACUAUGCAGCACUGAUACAGCAACAAAUUAAUGAGGACAAACAAAACUUGACAGAAAAGACUGUAUAUGGAAUCCAGCUCACAGAAGAAAAACUUAAUGACUUCCGUGAUGAACAAAUUGGGCAGCUGAAGGAACUGAUGGACGAAACUACCAAACCUCAGAAAAAACUCAGCAUUUCUAAAGACUCGGAACACAAAACCUAAAGGGUUUUAAAAGUUGUUUUAAUGCAUAUGGAAGCAUUUUGAAACUUCCUUUACAGCUGAACUUGAAUGUGGUUUCUUUGGAAUAAUGGGCACUGCUGCUGCCAUGACUUGUCUGAAACAGAUGUGUCUGGCUGUUAGGGUUUCUGUGCAAGAAUAAAUGUUAAAAUGGAAUGAUCACAACAAUAUUAUGUUAAUUGCAAUUUUUUUUUCUCCUAAUGGAAGGUGGAGACUUGAAGAUUUCGAUAAAAGUAAAUUGACAUAUCUGAAAUAGAAAGGUUUGUUUGUUUAUUUAGCACCCACAGGGCAAAACAUCUUCCGGUUUGCAUAUUGUCCUCUGCCUUAAUGGAAAAGAUGCAAUUAACAUUUGUUUUCUGAUAUGGACUAAGUAGACACAGAACAAAGAUAUGGUACUAGAAUGGCUUUGUUUUGAUGGAAAGGAAUGGGCUGUAUUAGAAAAACAUAUAACUGUUGCAAUUGAAAGUUGGUUUUCUUCUUGAGCUUUAUUGUGAAAUGUGCUUUAAAAUAAAAGAUGUACGUGAUUAUGAAGUUGAGCUCAAAGGAA